UAUCUUUUUACAUCAAAUUCGAAUUAAAAUUUUUGAAAUUCAAAUUAAGUGAAAGACACCCAUACUUACAUGAACAGACACCUAUUUGUAUUAUGCAUACACUUGUACAUGUAAAGAUACCCUUUGGCAUUGGACAUGUACAUGUACAUACGGACACCUUCGCCUUAAUAGAUAGUAGAAGUCCAUAAACUAAAAGAUAUAAUUCUAGAAGUGUUUUUGGGAAAACCUCUCUGUGGGAAAAGUGCUCUCUGCCAGUGUCUUUUUCUGAGUGUUCUUAAGACAAACAAUGAUUGUUUUUAUCAAAAGCCUCUCUGUUUACUACCAUUUUCGUACACAGUAUACAUUGAGUAUUACCUUUGGUUCUCUCUAUUGCAAUCACUUAUUGGAGUUGCACUUUAAGAGAGUGGGGAGUUGUUUUAUCUUGGAGGUGAGAAUGUUGGUCAACCCCGAUUGCAUGCAAGUACAGGACGUUCAAAUACCUUAAGGAGAGUAUUCUUAUACGACUCAACUCUACAUUAUUGAAGGACUUCUGUUUAUAAUUCUGCAUAUUCGGUUUGACUUGUAUAAGACUACGGCUAGUGAUUCAAAUGAUACACAUAAUGCAAAUGGUAUCACACCAACACCCCCUAACAAUGUUGAUCCAAUACUGCCUACAAAUUUUUCUACUCCAACCAAUGUGGUAGUCGGGACACUUCAACCCAUUAUGGAGAGGAUGAAGAUUGUGGCCGAGUUUGAUAAGAUUGUCGCCGAGUUUGAUAAGAUUGACCAAUUUAAUGGUCAGAAUUUCAAACGGUGGAAACAAAUGAUGCUAUUCGCGUUGUCUCAAGUUGGGGUUACCUUUUCUUUGACAAAACUAAAGCCACAACAAACUGAAGAUUCGGUUCUUGAGCAAAAAGGCUUGCAUGGGUGGAGGCUGAUUUUCAAUGGAGUAGCAAGUAUGUGUGGGCAAAUUUUCUCAAUUUUGUUAUGGUUGAGGGAGAAGAAAUAUCACCCCAAAUUGAUAAGUUUCAAGUCUUGGUUGGUAAGUUGGCAAAAGAGAAUAUCAUUUUUCCUGAUGCAUUUGUUACCAAUUCCUUAAUUGAAAAA